GAUGAACGCUGGCGGCGUGCCUAAUACAUGCAAGUAGAACGCACAGUUUAUACCGUAGCUUGCUACACCAUAAACUGUGAGUUGCGAACGGGUGAGUAACGCGUAGGUAACCUGCCUGGUAGCGGGGGAUAACUAUUGGAAACGAUAGCUAAUACCGCAUAAUAUUGAUUAUUGCAUGAUAAUUGAUUGAAAGAUGCUAUUGCAUCACUACCAGAUGGACCUGCGUUGUAUUAGCUAGUAGGUGAGGUAACGGCUCACCUAGGCGACGAUACAUAGCCGACCUGAGAGGGUGAUCGGCCACACUGGGACUGAGACACGGCCCAGACUCCUACGGGAGGCAGCAGUAGGGAAUCUUCGGCAAUGGGCGGAAGUCUGACCGAGCAACGCCGCGUGAGUGAAGAAGGGUUUCGGAUCGUAAAGCUCUGUUGUAAGAGAAGAACGGGUGUGAGAGUGGAAAGUUCACACUGUGACGGUAUCUUACCAGAAAGGGACGGCUAACUACGUG
rnacentral:rRNA from 1 species